CAUGCAAGUCGAACGGAAAGGCCCUGCUUUUGUGGGGUGCUCGAGUGGCGAACGGGUGAGUAACACGUGAGUAACCUGCCCUUGACUUUGGGAUAACUUCAGGAAACUGGGGCUAAUACCGGAUAGGAGCUCCUGCUGCAUGGUGGGGGUUGGAAAGUUUCGGCGGUUGGGGAUGGACUCGCGGCUUAUCAGCUUGUUGGUGGGGUGGUGGCUUACCAAGGCUUUGACGGGUAGCCGGCCUGAGAGGGUGACCGGCCACAUUGGGACUGAGAUACGGCCCAGACUCCUACGGGAGGCAGCAGUGGAGAAUAUUGCACAAUGGGCGGAAGCCUGAUGCAGCAACGCCGCGUGCGGGAUGACGGCCUUCGGGUUGUAAACCGCUUUCGCCUGUGACGAAGCGUGAGUGACGGUAAUGGGUAAAGAAGCACCGGCUAACUACGUGCCAGCAGCCGCGGUGAUACGUAGGGUGCGAGCGUUGUCCGGAUUUAUUGGGCGUAAAGGGCUCGUAGGUGGUUGAUCGCGUCGGAAGUGUAAUCUUGGGGCUUAACCCUGAGCGUGCUUUCGAUACGGGUUGACUUGAGGAAGGUAGGGGAGAA
rnacentral:rRNA from 1 species